CAGAGAGAGAUUUUUCGUGUCUAAAUUACUUUUUAUAUUUGUUGUUGCGUUGUAGAUUUAUCAAAGAGCGUAUUGGCGAGGUCUUAUCGUCGUGGUUGUUUUCUACGAUCGUUCUUAUUUAGUUUCCUCCACAUAAGAUCCAGUUUUCGCUACGUUAAGGAUUUUAUAGGUGCAAUGGUUGUCCCUAAUGAGUGUGAGAUGAAAUUCCUUGCACGCGCGUAAAGUUGGUUUUAUAUCGCAAGUCUUGCAAAGAACGGUGAUAUGCACAGAGAGAAGGGAAAGGAAAAGAUCUAAUCUCAGUUGCAUAAUAUAGACUUGCAUUCUUGAAAGACUUUAGUGAACGCACUCUUCUCUUUCUGCUUUGGUUCUCUUCCUAGCGAAAAGUAUAAGAUGGAAUACCAAAAAAAGGAAAUAUUAAUAGGAGAGUAAUACACACUUAUGGCUUGAUAAUGUAAGGUUCAGAGCGCAAAGCUUUAGGGAUGGGAUGAUUAGAAAGCUACGUUCUACAGAUAUUGAAGCACUUUCCUGUUGUCUUUCUGAGACUCCUUCUCAUCACUUGGAUAGCGAAAAAGCUUGUUUAAGUAAGCUUCAUGGGCUCUAAUGGCAAUAUAGCGUAGUCGAUGCACUGGGUAGAAAAUCAAGAACUGCUCGUGUUAUUACACUCUCUAAAGGAUUUGGCACAUAAUCCUAGUUGAUGUUAGGCUGUGUAUAAUUAUCUUAGUUAUGACAUGAAUCAAUCACUAUGAGGUAUUAUUGGCAAUUGGUCCCCGACGGUCUAGGAUUUGUGGAAAGAGAGCCUUGAAUCAAUGAGAGGUUUUUUUAAUGCGUGCAAAUUGAGUAAUAGACUGGAUUUGCCCUGUGCAAUCUAAGGUUGAAACGUAGUUCUUGUAGUGGAGAUCGUCGGCAUUCGAGAGAACUCCGUUUCAAACCAGAGUCUGUGUGGUAGAGAAGUGAAGACACAGGUCUCCACUUUAUGAUUCAUUUUCGCUAGUGAAAACUACUGGGUCGGAUUAUCAAUUCGCGAGCUGAUGACUCCAGGCUACUCGCUUCGUGUCGACAUCAACGUAGGUGCGGUCGGGAUCGCUAUCCGAAAAUAUUCGGUAGAACUCGGUCUCCUCAUAGACCGGCUCUCCCGAGAAGACCGGUCUCCUGAGGACGACACAGGCUUUUUAAAAAAAGGACUUUGUGCAAUCCUAGUCUACUUCUAAGUCUUCUAAAACAAUAUAAAUAAGCUAUGUGGUCAUCUAAAAGUUAUAAGGCUUUGAAUAUUACUCUGAUUCUAAACCCUAGAAACUUAUUUUUCUCCGAUUCAAUGCUUAGAUUCACAUAAUGAGUUUUCUAAUAACCAACAUCCGGCUUGAUUCUUCGUUUUACUCGAUACCUCUUAGAGAAUCAAGUAUGGUUGAUUAAAGGUGAACCCUCAUAGCUUAUGCUAUUCAAAGGUUUAAAUCAUCACAAAUCUUUGAAUUCUACAAGCUCCGGAAGGAGGUUCCGCGUGGAUCUCGCGUGAAGCCGAGGAUCGGUGGACCGCUUCGAGGAGUUAGGCUUGACGCUGCGAGGAAGUUGCAGGCAAAGUCGAUUGGUGGAUUCCCAUCCGAUCGAGGACGGGCGAAGAUCACCAUCAACAAGAAAUCAGUAAAUUGAGUUCGUGUAUUUUGUCGAAUCACUUGUAUCAAGUUUUCUUAGUGAAUUUUCUUUGCGUGAUCGUCCGUGGGUUUUACUCCGAAUUGGAGUUUUCCUACGUUAAAUUCUCGGUGUGCUGUUUUGUUUUCCCUACUUUAUUUUAUUUGCAUCGAGAUUUUCGAGUUUGCCGAUUUACACCUAUUCACCCCGCCUCUAGUGUUACUUACCUUUUAAUCCUCGGAUCCAUAUCUUACAAGUGGUAUCAGAGCAUUUUAUAUGAGAGCAAGGUCACCUAAGUGAACUCCGACGGCGGCCCGUACGUGUUUAAGACUUCCGUACGUGGUGUUGAGUUAUCCAUCACUCCUGAUACAAUAGCGUCGGUGCUAGUAUGGAAGCUAAGACUGAGUGAGUGGAAUAUCUACAAGCUGGGUUCGACUCACUUCGCGAUUGGAAUCGUGUAGUGAGCACUAUUUGCAUGCCGGGUACCGAGUCGAACGCAUUAUGUUAUGUCCAAAAAUUUCAAAAUGGAGUAUCGUUUUUUAAACUUCCGUGUUUGCUACAACAUUCUGCCCUCUAGCAAACACGAAGAUUCUGAGGUGGGAUUCGUAUUUUGUAUAUGUAUCUCUUGGGAAAGGCCAGAUAUUGUGCGUGCAAAGAAUAUUAACGAUGAAUAUCCGUUUCUAAUCUGGCGGAGAUGCAAAAGACAUCAAAAAACUUCUGGACAAAAUGAAGGCUGCCAUUUCCAAUUGAUAAUCAUGAGGAUUCUGCGACUUCGUGAUGUGGAUGUCCGUGUACAUCUUAUGAGCACAGUUUGGGUCGGAUAAAUGAACGACAUUUUGUGGAAGUCCUCGUGCACGCUUCGUACACCGUCUCAAGCGUGCUUCUUCCCCUCCUGCAAGCUCCACCUCCUGCUACUGCUACUUGUUCACUCCUUCUAUGGCACAUUCUGAGGAAGAUAUCUCCGUUUUCCUCGGUAAUGUGAGGCAGCAACGUCUAUCUGAGGAGCUUCAGAAGUUGUCUUGCGGAACAAGCUGCGAUUUCGUAGGAUGUGAGCAAGAUGAAGCGUUUAUUGAAAUGACUUUUUGACAAGUUUAGGAUGUUGCCGGCAGAUUUACCUCCAGGGGAUGCUUUCUACUAGGAGUUACCGUUUUCCUUCUUUUGUCAUUUUUGCGCUUUCUCGACAAAAAGGGGAGAUGGCGUUGGUUGGUCUUGAUGAUGAUGAUGAUGCAAUUAUCUCUUUGAUCUGAUGAUAUUUGAUGCUUUGAUGAUAGAUGUAUUAAGCUAAGAUGAACUUUGUUUAGUUAGUGCUUUAGUGUUUGACUUAGUGUUUAGGUGUUUGACUAUGAACUAUUGAAUUAUGAACUAUGACUUGAUAGUUUGUUAUGAUCUUGAUACUUGAAUCUUGAUUAUGCUUUGAAAUGUUUUGCAUGGAAUAUUCAAGACUUCAAGACUCCAUGUCUAAGUCAUUGAGUUUGUAUUAAGGUUGUAAAAAUGUAAAUUUCUUUAUUGGAUUGAUCAUGCAGGAGAUUACGUUUGAUGAUUGCGAUGAUCUUCUUUUAUGAUUUAUUAAUUGUAUACGAACUUUGUAGUAUAUUUUGUCAGCGAAAUCCCAAAGGGGAGAUUGUUAAGGAUUUUUAUAGGUUGGCGAAUUUCGUAAAGUUGUUUGGAGUCUUGAAGAGUUGAUCGCAGAAGUUUUAAAGAAAAGAUUCAAAGUGAAGAAAUA
rnacentral:lncRNA from 1 species